GCGCUGUAGCUCAGUUGGCUAGAGCAUUCGGUUCAUACCCGAAGGGUCGUGGGUUCAAAUCCCUCCGGCG
rnacentral:tRNA from 1 species